rnacentral:rRNA from 1 species
GAUGAACGCUGGCGGCGUGCCUAAUACAUGCAAGUCGAGCGAAUGGAUUAAGAGCUUGCUCUUAUGAAGUUAGCGGCGGACGGGUGAGUAACACGUGGGUAACCUGCCCAUAAGACUGGGAUAACUCCGGGAAACCGGGGCUAAUACCGGAUAACAUUUUGAACCGCAUGGUUCGAAAUUGAAAGGCGGCUUCGGCUGUCACUUAUGGAUGGACCCGCGUCGCAUUAGCUAGUUGGUGAGGUAACGGCUCACCAAGGCAACGAUGCGUAGCCGGCCUGAGAGGGUGAUCGGCCCACCUGGGACUGAGACACGGCCCAGACUCCUGCGGGAGGCAGCAGUAGGGAAUCUUCCGCAAUGGACGAAAGUCUGACGGAGCAACGCCGCGUGAGUGAUGAAGGCUUUCGGGUCGUAAAACUCUGUUGUUAGGGAAGAACAAGUACUAGUUGAAUAAGCUGGCACCUUGACGGUACCUAACCAGAAAGCCACGGCUAACUACGUGCCAGCCGCCGCCGUAA